rnacentral:rRNA from 1 species
AGCGAACGCUGGCGGAAUGCUUAACACAUGCAAGUCGCACGGGGGCUUCGGCCUUAGUGGCGGACGGGUGAGUAACGCGUAGGAACGUGUCUUGGGGGUGGGGGAUAACGCUGGGAAACUGGCGCUAAUACCGCAUGUCUGCUGUGGCAGAAAGCCUUCGGGUGCCUUGAGAGCGGCCUGCGUCCGAUUAGCUAGUUGGUGGGGUAAAGGCUUACCAAGGCGACGAUCGGUAGCNGGUCUGAGAGGACGAUCAGCCACACUGGGACUGAGACACGGCCCAGACUCCUACGGGAGGCAGCAGUGGGGAAUAUUGGACAAUGGGCGCAAGCCUGAUCCAGCAAUUCCGCGUGGGUGAAGAAGGUCUUCGGAUUGUAAAGCCCUUUCGACGGGGACGAUGAUGACGGUACCCGUAGAAGAA